UCCGUUGUAGCAAUACGAUGGAAAGUCUAGUGGCGAACGGGUGCUUAACACGUGGGCAAUCUGUCUUAAAGUGGGGGAUAGCUCGGCGAAAGCCGAAUUAAUACCGCAUGUAAUUAGAGUGGACAUCCAUUCAAAAUUAAAGGUGGCGCAAGCUACCGCUUUUUGAGGAGCCCGCGGCCUAUCAGCUUGUUGGUGAGGUAACGGCUCACCAAGGCUUUGACGGGUAGCUGGUCUGAGAGGACGACCAGCCACACUGGGACUGAGACACGGCCCAGACACCUAUGGGUGGCAGCAGUCGAGAAUUUUUCUCAAUGGGGGAAACCCUGAAGGAGCGACGCCGCGUGGAGGAUGAAGGUCUUCGGAUUGUAAACUCCUGUCAUUGGGGAACAAGUCGCUUACGUUAACUGCGUGAGCGUUGAUAGUACCCGAAGAGGAAGAGACGGCUAACUCUGUGCCAGCAGCCGCGGUAAUACAGAGGUCUCAAGCGUUGUUCGGAUUCAUUGGGCGUAAAGGGUGCGUAGGCGGCGCGGUAAGUCGGGUGUGAAAUCUUGGAGCUUAACUCCGAAACUGCAUUCGAUACUGCCGUGCUUGAGGACUGGAGAGGAGACUGGAAUUCUCGGUGUAGCA
rnacentral:rRNA from 1 species